CGGCGAUUGGGACGAAGUCGUAACAAGGUAGCCGUACCGGAAGGUGCGGCUGGAUCACCUCCUUUCUAAGGAGCACCAUUUCCCAGUCGAAUGAACUAGGGAACAUAAAGUAGGCAUCUGUAGUGGAUAUCUACUUGGUGAAUAUGUUUUGUAAAUCCUGUCCACCCCGUGGAUGGGUAGUCGGCAAAACGUCGGACUGUCAUAAGAAUUGAAACGCUGGCACACUGUUGGGUCCUGAGGCAACACGUUGUGUUGUCACCCUGCUUGGUGGUGGGGUGUGGACUUUGACUUCUGAAUAGUGGUUGCGAGCAUCUAAACAUAGCCUCGCUCGUUUUCGAGUGGGGCUGGUUUUUGCAAUUUUAUUAGCUAAGUUCUUAAGGGCGCAUGGUGAAUGCCUUGGCACUAGAAGCCGAAGAAGGACGUAGGAGGCUGCGAUAAGCCUCGGGGAGCUGCCAACCGAG
rnacentral:misc_RNA from 1 species